rnacentral:rRNA from 1 species
UACGUAGGGGGCGAGCGUUGUCCGGAUUUAUUGGGCGUAAAGAGCGUGUAGGCGGUUCGGUAAGUCUGUCGUGAAAUCCUGAGGCUCAACCUCGGACGUGCGAUGGAUACUGCCGGGCUAGAGGAUGGUAGAGGCGAGUGGAGUUCCCGGUGUAGCGGUGAAAUGCGCAGAUAUCGGGAGGAACACCAGUAGCGAAGGCAGCUCGCUGGGACGGUACUGACGCUAAGGCGCGAAAGCGUGGGGAGCAAACAGG